AUUUCUUUCUGCUGAGAUGCAAGGCCAUUUUUGCUGGCACAAGCAAGGUCUCUGGGACUGGAUAAAAUGUAUGGCUCUUUCUAAAAUCAAAAGUGUUUAUGCCGGAGAUGAAACUGAGCUCUAUUCAGGGAAGAGAUGCGCUAAUGUGUAUAACACAAAACCAACUCAGUGGCUCCUGGAGGCAAACCAGACAAAGGUCAAAUAAUCUGGGAAAGGUAACUGUGGCCCACAGAAACAGUGACAUGGUCUGAACUAAAUUCUGCAGCAAUCUUCCCGCAAAGGCCCCCGGACACAGCCCAUGAUGCUGUGCCCCUCCUGGAUUUAAACUA
rnacentral:lncRNA from 1 species